rnacentral:tRNA from 1 species
GGCCCGUUGGUCAAGCGGUUAAGACACCGCCCUUUCACGGCGGUAACACGGGUUGAAUCCCGUACGGGUCA